UACAGGGGGGGCAAGCGUUGUUCGGAAUCAUUGGGCGUAAAGAGCGUGUAGGCGGCCAGCCAAGUCGGAUGUGAAAUCCCUCGGCUCAACCGAGGAACUGCACUCGAUACUGGUUGGCUAGAGUCCGGGAGGGGAUGGUGGAAUUCCCAGUGUAGCGGUGAAAUGCGUAGAUAUUGGGAAGAACACCGGUGGCGAAGGCGGCCAUCUGGACCGGAACUGACGCUGAGGCGCGAAAGCCAGGGGAGCGAAUGGG
rnacentral:rRNA from 1 species